GAUGAACGCUGGCGGCGUGCCUAAUACAUGCAAGUCGAGCGAAUGGAUUAAGAGCUUGCUCUUAUGAAGUUAGCGGCGGACGGGUGAGUAACACGUGGGUAACCUGCCCAUAAGACUGGGAUAACUCCGGGAAACCGGGGCUAAUACCGGAUAACAUUUUGAACCGCAUGGUUCGAAAUUGAAAGGCGGCUUCGGCUGUCACUUAUGGAUGGACCCGCGUCGCAUUAGCUAGUUGGUGAGGUAACGGCUCACCAAGGCAACGAUGCGUAGCCGACCUGGGAGGGUGAUCGGCCACACUGGGACUGAGACACGGCCCGGACUCCUACGGGAGGAAGCAGUAGGGAAUCUUCCGCAAUGGACGAAAGUCUGACGGAGCAACGCCGCGUGAGUGAUGAAGGCUUUCGGGUCGUAAAACUCUGUUGUUAGGGAAGAACAAGUGCUAGUUGAAUAAGCUGGCACCUUGACGGUACCUAACCAGAAAGCCACGGCUAACUACGUGCCAGCCGCCGCGGUAA
rnacentral:rRNA from 1 species